rnacentral:rRNA from 1 species
CCUACGGGUGGCAGCAGUGAGGAAUAUUGGUCAAUGGCCGGAAGGCUGAACCAGCCAUGCCGCGUGAAGGUCAGUGCCCUAUGGGCGUUAAACUUCUUUUGUGCGGGAGCAAUAAUGGUCACGUGUGGCCAGACGAGAGUACCGUACGAAUAAGCAUCGGCUAACUCCGUGCCAGCAGCCGCGGUAAUACGGGGGAUGCAAGCGUUAUCCGGAUUUUUUGGGUUUAAAGGGUGCGUAGGGUGUGAGGUAAGUCAGCGAUGAAAUGCCGCCGCGCAACGGGGUGAAGUGCCAUUGAUACUGGCUGGCUAGAGUGCGGGUGAAGCAGGAGGAAUGUGUGGUGUAGAGGUGAAAUGCAUAGAGAGCACACAGAACCCCGAUUGCGAAGGCAUCUCACUGGUCUGCGAUUGAAGCUGAGGCACGAAAGCGUGGGUAGCAAACAGGAUUAGAUACCCCAGUAGUC